CGGCCCGGGGGCGUGAGGGGAGCGCGGGGCGGGCUCGGGGGGUGCGGGCGGCUCAGUCGGUCCGGGAGCUCUACAGGGUGUGCGGGAUGUCGCAGGGAUGUACGGGGGUAGUACAUGGCGUGCGGAGCGGGUCAGGCCGUGCGGAGGUGUACGGGGGUAGUACAGGGCGUGCGGAGCAGCUCAGGCUGUGCGGGGCCGGUGCAGGGUGUGCAGGAUGUCACAGGGGUAUAUGGGGGUAGUCCGUGACGUGCGAGGCGGCUUGGGGUGUGCGCGAUGUUACAGGGUGUACGGGGUAGUACGUGGCGUGCGGAGGUGGCGCAGGGCAGUGCUGGGACAGGGGACACCCGUCGCUGGCGGGAGGUUGGUGGCGGUGAGGGGAACAUGGCACGCAGCGCUGUGAGGGGCCAGGGCACUGCCGAGCCCUGCUCUGUUCCCGGGCAGCGCCGACACCCCGCGUACCGGGCUGGAAUGGCCUUCAGAGCACGGACCAUCCCGCCCCGCUGCUCUGGAACUGGCAGGGGUGACACCUGGCAGCUCCCUCCUGUCACAGCUGCCGUCACCUCCCGUGCGUGUGACAGCACCGGCCUCUCUCCCUGACUGCAGCCCGUGAGUCCCUGGGCCGGAGAAAGCCGAAAGCUUGGCCAUCCUGCAUCUUCUUCGAAGUACAAACAUACCCAGUCCAGACUCAGAAUGAGCUACAGCAACUGGAUAAAUCUACUGCGACCAUAAAGAAUUCAAGUGGUUAAUUUGAGUUAGAAGUCUCUCUGCAGGUGGAAUGCCUCCUGUCCCUCAAGUGGCUCAGCGGAUCAGCCAGGAGGAAAACCAACAGCAAAAUGGACCAAAUUUGUCAAAUCUGCUUGAUUCCUUCCCUGCUGCACACAGCAGGAACCCAGCUCUGCCCCAGCAGGUACAACCAGCAGGAUGGCAUAAGAACCAUGUGCUUGUGGUCCCAGCUCCAGUUCCCUCACAACAACAGCACACAGACUGGUCUCUAUUUGAUGUGACUGGGAUGGAAAACCAAAUCACUUGCUAUGAAGGACAAGUGCUGCCAAAACUGAAGGUAACUGGAAAGCUUAUUGAGGAGAUCUUCUGCUCCCCUUCGUCACCCAGACUUGAGCCAGUGAAGCUCCAACCAAACAGGGUUUUUUUGCAUAAGCUUUAUCUGAUCACAAUAGAUUCAGAGAAGAAUUUUGAAUUUAAUAUUCCAGAAGAAAGAGACAACUGAAGGAACACCUGGACAAAAUAUACUUCUGGAAUGAGUGUCAUUGUUCCAGAACCCCCCUGUAUGGCAGAGACCUGUUGGAAACUUGCCCUUGGAUCAGUGAAAGAAAAAUCUCUCAGCAUUGUUCUUCCAGGAUUAACAAGUGGUGCUGGGUUGGCUUUGCAAAAUGCCUUCCAUACUCCAGCACUUCAGAGGCUCUAAGGAUCCAUUGCAGGACCUCAUUCUGACACUGAAACAGCAGCAGAUUGCCCUGAAGCAUUAUUAUUGUUAUUGCCAGAGACAUGUGUGUGUUCCCAGCUGUAGCUAUUGCUCCUCCAUGUUUGUAUGGAGUAAAUCCUUCUUACACAAGGACCCAUGGAAUGAAACCCCUGCAGUUCAGGCUCGAGGAACAGAGAUGGUGCAGCCUGAUUCAGGAAUUCACAAAAAGCUUCAACCAAGACAAGUAAUCCUUCUGUGCUAUCCUGUCUUCCCACACUCCCUUUGCAGGUGUCAGUCACACAGAUGUGAUUCCUGUUGUCUUCUAUGACACUGGACACAAAGAUGGGAUGGUGUGACAAAAGUGCAAGAGGAGGAGAUACCCACACAUCCAGGCUUGUAAGUGGUAAUUCUACUGAAGAGAGGCUGUUUGAAAAGAGUAUUAAACAUAUGAUUCAAGAGCUGGCUGCUCAGGGAGAGGAUUGUUCAAUAGACUUUUUAUCCCAGGUACUGUAACAUUAAGAAUGUGAGCAGUUAUUUGAUGAUACAUAAAAAAUAAGUGUUUUAAUAGAUCUCAGACAGAAUUUUGUAAAGGUAGUGGUUUAUUUAUUUCUAGGCUUGUUUGGGAACCUGUGGUGUGUGUUCACAGUUCAAUUGAGUAGAAAUCCUGAACCGUCAGCUCAUAUAGAAAAUCAGACGGUAACAAUAUGAAAUAAAUAUUGAUGAUAUUGAUAAAUUGUAAUAAAGAUCUGCAUGUUCCAAUUAUAACGUUACCCUUUUAUUAACAUUGUUUUAAUCAAUCAAAAGCAACAUCUGCAGCAAAAUGUGUCAAACACAUCUGUAAUCUGACUUUUCUAAACUUGAUUUUAUGAUGACUAAAAAUUUUUGCGUUUUUUUCUUAAAGGUCUUGGAUCCUCUCAGUGAGGUGGUUAACUCUUGUAACAAUGUUUAUCACUCUCCAAAGCAAUGGCAAAAUUGCUUUGGAGAGUGAUAAAAAAUUGCAAUGCAAAAUUGUUACAUAAAAACCAUUACAGGUCUAGAGGGGAAGGAGAGUUUCAAUUCAAACUUGCUUUGCAUUGCAAGGACUUGGGGGCUUUUGGGGUCUUUAUUGUUGUUUUUUUUUUUUUUCCCUUUUUAAUUCCUCAUUGCUGUUAGAAUACUACAUGAGUGUUCACUAAGCAAAAACAUAACUAGAUUUUAGAAUUUUGAAUCAAAUCUGUGCUCGUGCUGAUGUAAAAGAAAAGUUUUAAGUGCGGCUCCAUCUGAUGUACCAGAAGUCCUUCCUCAUGUCCGGGUGGACCCUCCUGAGCAUCAGUGAGUGCCCGUUGUCUCUUUUCCUGUAACCUGGCACCACCGAGCAGAGCCGGCCGUGCUCCGCGCUCCCUGCAGACCCUGACAGACGGGGAUGGGGCCCCCUCUCAGCUCGAGGCUGAACAGCGCCGUCGGAGAUGCUCCAGCCCCUCCAUCACCGUUGUUCCCCGGCUGGCCCCGCUCCAGACGCUCCCAGUCUCUCCUGCCCUGGGGAGUCAAGCCCCGCCAGCUGCACGUGUGGCUUUUCACACCGUAUAUUGAAGAGUAGUGACAGCCCCGCUCCGUGCGCGGACAGAAACUGCCCUUUGCUCGGUGCUUCCCCCGCCCUGCCUCUGCUACAAUAAAUAUCAUUUUUCCGCGCUUUCGCCGAGCCCGUUCCU